GGUUGAAUGGUGUAACGGUAGCACAUAGGAUUUUGAAUCAACAGAUCCUGUUUGAAGAAAUUUCCUGCGACCUGGGUUCGACUCCCAGUUCGACCU